AAUUCAAUGCCAUGAACAGGCAUCAAAUGCUUUCCAGUGGGAGGUAGUGCUGCAGCAAAAGAAGGUGCAACUGGAAUAUGCAUGUAAUUAUUACCCCUUUGAUUUGCAAAGUGGGGCACUGCCUUGUUGGGUUGAAAUUGCUGGUCACUCUGCAUCAGACGCCCACCUUGGAUUAAAAAGUCAAAGAGAAUGAUGGAUUUUUUUGGCUUUGGGUUGGUGAUUAUUUGGUUUCCAAUUGGAAGAAGGUUCCUAAAAAGAGAAGAACACUAUAUAGCGAAUCAAUGUAUUGCCAUCCUGCAUAAAGAGCUGUCUAUUCUAAACGAACAACUACCAGAAUCAAACAGUUCAUCUUCGUGACUUUGUCAUUGCCUUCUUAUGUAUAAACAAAACCAGAGGCAAUCUGUCCCAAAACCCAAUCCCCUAGAGCGUUGUAAUGCUAGACUACGUCACAGGUUUCAGCAACUGACGGAAAUAUUCAGCCUGGCAAACUUGCAUCACUUGGUAAUACGCAGUAAUCCCAACUAUCAUUUUAAUCUUCCCUACUUCCUUCACAGCACGAUACCUCUUUAUGGUUACCGCAAUGUACAUUCUCGCACCUCAAACCGCUUUUAAAUAGAAACCACACUAAAUAUAAGGGUUCCUUCACCAAUCAAAGAGGAUUUACCAAAGCAAUCUAAAUUAGAUUAUAACACGAAAGAAGACCACCAGGCGAACACAGUUCCUGCUAUAAUUCACAAAUGAAGCAGCCCACGGCAUGUUGCUCUCCUCCACCAAAUCCAAAUGAGUAUGUAAAUGAACUUGCCACUAAUUUUUAAUCUUUUACUAAUAAGAGUCCAAGAAAACAGAAACCCAAAGCUCAGAACUGAAGAUCUGGAAAAAAAAAAAAAGAUUUUCGCUGAAGAU
rnacentral:misc_RNA from 1 species